AUUGAACGCUGGCGGAAUGCUUUACACAUGCAAGUCGAGCGGCAGCACGGGGGCAACCCUGGUGGCGAGCGGCGAACGGGUGAGUAAUACAUCGGAACAUGCCCAGUCGUAGGGGAUAACACUUCGAAAGAAGUGCUAAUACCGCAUACGUCCUGAGGGAGAAAGCGGGGGAUCGCAAGACCUCGCGCGAUUGGAGUGGCCGAUGUCAGAUUAGCUAGUUGGUGGGGUAAAGGCCUACCAAGGCAACGAUCUGUAGCUGGUCUGAGAGGAUGAUCAGCCACACUGGGACUGAGACACGGCCCAGACUCCUACGGGAGGCAGCAGUGGGGAAUUUUGGACAAUGGGGGCAACCCUGAUCCAGCCAUUCCGCGUGAGUGAAGAAGGCCUUCGGGUUGUAAAGCUCUUUCGGCAGGAACGAAACGGCGAGCUCUAACAUAGCUUGCUAAUGACGGUACCUGAAGAAGAAGCACCGGCUAACUACGUG
rnacentral:rRNA from 1 species